UACGUAGGCAGCGAGCGUUGUUCGGAGUUACUGGGCGUAAAGAGUGCGUAGGCGGUUUUCUAAGUUUGGUGUGAAAUCUCCCGGCUUAACUGGGAGGGUGCGCCGAAGACUGGAAGGCUUGAGUAUGGGAGAGGUAAGCGGAAUUCCUGGUGUAGCGGUGAAAUGCGCAGAUAUCAGGAGGAACACCGGUGGCGAAGGCGGUUCUCUGGGCAUGUCCUGACGCUGAGGAGCGAAAGUGUGGGGAGCGAACAGG
rnacentral:rRNA from 1 species